rnacentral:rRNA from 1 species
UACGAAGGAUGCAAGCGUUAUCCGGAUUCAUUGGGUUUAAAGGGAGCGUAGGCGGAUUGGUAAGUCAGUGGUGAAAUCUUUGGGCUUAACCCAGAAACUGCCAUUGAUACUGCUGAUCUAGAGUACAGUUGCCGUUGGCGGAAUAUGACAUGUAGUGGUGAAAUACUUAGAUAUGUCAUAGAACACCGAGUGCGAAGGCAGCUAACGAAGCUGUAACUGACGCUGAGGCUCGAAAGUGCGGGGAUCAAACAGG